rnacentral:rRNA from 1 species
AACGCUGGCGGCGUGCCUAACACAUGCAAGUCGAACGGACUCAUUUUGAAGUAGCAAUACGGAUAGAUGAGUUAGUGGCGGACGGGUGAGUAACACGUAGGUAACCUACCCUUUGGAGGGGGACAACUCAGGGAAACUUGAGCUAAUACCCCAUAAGACCACGUACAGAGAUGUAUGAGGUAAAAGUGGCAACACACCGAAGGACGGGCCUGCGGCCUAUCAGGUAGUUGGUGAGGUAACGGCUCACCAAGCCAAAGACGGGUAGCCGGGCUGAGAGGUUGAACGGCCACACUGGAACUGAGAUACGGUCCAGACUCCUACGGGAGGCAGCAGUGGGGAAUCUUGCACAAUGGGCGAAAGCCUGAUGCAGCGACGCCGCGUGGAGGAUGAAGGCCUUCGGGUUGUAAACUCCUUUUCUUGGGAAAGAUGAUGACGGUACCCAAGGAAUAAGCCACGGCUAACUCUGUGCCAGCAGCCGCGGUAAGACAGAGGUGGCAAGCGUUGUUCGGAAUUACUGGGCUUAAAGGGCGAGUAGGCGGUGGAGCAAGUCUGAGGUGGAAUCCUAUGGCUUAACCAUAGAACUGCCUUAGAAACUGCUUUACUUGAGUCAGUGAGGGGAGGGCGGAAUUCCUGGUGUAGCGGUGAAAUGCGUAGAUAUCAGGAGGAAGGCCUGUGGCGAAAGCGGCCCUCUGGCACUGUACUGACGCUGAGGCGCGAAAGCGUGGGGAGCAAACAGGAUUAGAUACCCUGGUAGUCCACGCCCUAAACGGUGGGCAUUAGGUGUAGGGCUCGUAAGGGUUCUGUGCCGAAGGGAAACCAUUAAAUGCCCCGCCUGGGGAUACGGCCCGCAGGUUGAAACUCAAAU